CUGAAAUUAAUUACAGCUGUUCAGAAGACUAUUGGGAAUUUCUGAAAAGUGCCGCACACCAUACCUAUCAAGAAGUAUAGGCACAAAUGGUCUUAAGCAGGCACGUCAAGUGCAGAAAGACAUUUGCACUGAGAACCUGAAAAACCUGUUUGUAAGGGAACUAGAGGUAGCUGACUGGGCUGAGGCGGAAGACAUAUAUCCAGAUGAGACAAUCGAAUUAAUGGAAUUUGCAGACAUGGAAGUAACCACAAAAAAAGUACCCAUACGAAUUCUGGAUUUCCUCAAAAAAGUAAAAACGGGACAGAGCCAAGACCAGGAAAAUGAAAAAGAAAUAAGUGUCGAAAUAAUUAUAAAAAUAGAUGGAAAAAUAUACUCAACCAGCAACAUACAUGUUGAACAAGCAAAGACAAGGUGUAUAAGGAAGUUGAAGAAAGAAAUAAGGAAAAUAAAGUUUGCAGAAGAAUAGUGACAGGUCAACAAAAUCAAUCAAAAUCAACAAAAUAUGGGUUUUAAUAAAAAAAAAAGUUUGUUUCUUUUCUCCCGUUUUACAGACAGGUAACAUUGCGUGAUCUGGCUUAUGACAUAAAAAGUAAUAUUUCUUGAAAAAUAAUGAUGAUAUUUCUUUCAAACUUGGUCCAUUUAUUAAGCAUAACAAAUGAUACGUAAUAGUUAUAGUAUGUGUGAGAGUGUGUUACCAGGAUAUAUCAGAGCUAGGGGUACAUCGAGGGUAUUUUUCUCUGCACAUACCGUCGAGGCCGGUAGGCCGAGACAGAUAUGUGCAGAGAAAAAUACCGAGAUGUACCCCUACCUCUGAUAUAUCUUCGUAACACACGAGCAUUACAUAUUAUAACUGUUUUAUCGCAUAGUUUUAUCAUUAAAAUUUAUAUAUUAUUUUCAUUUAAAUUUGUUUAUUAUUAUUUUUACUCUUUUGAUUCCCUUUCUGCACCUCGCUGACUAAAACACUAAAACUUCUGUUUUAAAAAAAGUCUUCCCAAGAUAAAAGUAUCCAACAGAUUUCUGCAUUGGUUUUAAAUCUUUGCAUUUCAUUGGCCUAACAUAUUCUAAAACUUGUUUUGUUUGUAAAAAAAAUCAAAUUGAGAAAUCUCAGAAAUUCAUAUAUUUCAUGUAUUUCGGAAUUUGGCAAUAACUAUCGAGUUUUUGAAAUAUUCUAGUUUAUUUUCGAGUUUUUGAAAUAUUCUAGUUUAUUUAUUCUUUUACUUUAUAAAUGUACCGGUAGGUGUUUCUGAUAAUUCUUUCUCUGUGAACUGUAAAUUGGAGCUAAAAGCAUCUUUUCUUUGAAAGGAAAAAAUUAUACUCCCUUGAUAGGACUUCAAUAGAGAAAAAGUGAUGCGAUAUAUAUCGGAACAGUUUUACUGUGCUGAUAUAUAUCGCAACACUUUUUUUUCUAAUGAAACUCUAUAGAGAUUUCUGUGUACUGUUGAUAUAUAUCGUAACAGUUUUGUAAAAUAUCAGCACAUAUUUUGUAGUAUUAAUGUGUGUUACCAUGUUUAACAUACUGCAAAGAUCAAAGGAAAACUGCCGCACUAUGCAAUAAAAGUAAGAAUAAAAAUAAAUUGGCUGCAUUCAGUUUUGGUAGAAUUAUUUACCAUUUUCAGAUUUUUUUUAGGCAUAAUCUUUGAAGUCCAAAAGAAAAGGUUCUAAAGAAGCUGCAUUCAAUAAACGCCUGAUGCUCCCGGCGGCAACCUUGACGAUAGAAAGCAGCCCAAGUCCAAAAUGAGGACAAGGUCAAACUGAGGUCAGGUGAUGUUGGAAGAUGAGGAAUGGUCACAGGUUACAUCUGCAUUAGUAUCAAUUCAUUCUUGUAAGCGGUGUUAAUGCUAGACAAAACGAUCCCAUUUGGUUAACCAAGAGAUGGCCCAUAUAAAGCAAUCUAAAUCCAAAAUGAGGUCAAGGUCAAACUGAGGUCAGAUGAUGUUUGAAGAAAUUUGGUCACAAAUUACAUCUGUAUUCGUACCAAUUCAUUCUUGCAAGUGGUAUUGAUGCUAGACGAAACGGUCCCAUUUGGUUAACCUCGUACGUACGGACGGACGAACGAACAGACGGACGGACAGGGCGACCACUGUAUAUGCCUCCGGCAUCAGUAGAUGCCGGGGACAUAAGAAAGGUUAAAUGACUUUCUAAUGCUCUAAAUUAUUGCGCUAGUACAUGAAUAUAUACAUUACUCUUCUUUUACUUACAACAUUAUGGAGAAAUAUUAGUUCUAAAACAAGGAGCUGCGUUCAAUAAAUGCUUGAUGCCACCGGUGGCAUCCUUGUCAAUACAACAGAGCUCCAGAUAAGCUUUUGGUGCAAUUGGGUAUUUACCCAUCACUUUUUGUCUGAAUUGGGUAUUGGAAAUUUGAAUUGGGUAAAAAUAAUAUCAUUACCCAGCCUUUUCAGAAGUAAUUGGGUAUUUGCUAAAACCAGUUGGGUAUUUUACCAAUCUCGCACUAACAAUUGAGUAUUUUUUUGCUUACAGUAUACAUGGUAUAUAUCAUUAAACAGGACUGACUAAGUAUUUUAAUGGCGCCCUUCAAUGUUUAAUACAAAAAUGUAUUUAAAAUGAAUGUUUCAUACUGUUGUUUUCUUUUUCACUUUUAAUGCAGUCUGAGAUCAGUUCAUCCACAAUAUCCCGAACGAUGUGGUCACCGCAAUAUGCAUUCUCCCAAAGAUGUCAUCCAGUAUUGGUGACACUACAUCGUCACAAACAGAUUUUCUGUCAUUGUUGAACAGCAAAAUAUCCCACUAAUUUGUUUGUUUGUGCUGCAACAAUGUUUUUUCCUGCAACCUCUUUACAUUUUAUCGGCGUAAAAUUGUUUACAAAGCGUCCAGAUAACACUGAUCAGCCGACUGAAUGGUCCUGUUAUUUUUCCGAUAAAUUGCAACCUGUUCUGCAGUAACGUAUAACCAGUCAGUCAAAUCUAGCGUUAAAGUCUCGCACCCGUUCUAGUUAUAAGGAAAAUGCGAUACGCAAGCUAUUUUUUACGAAUUGGGUAUUAAGAAUUUUAAUUGCGUUUCAGUACGCACACUGUAUGAAUUCAAUUGGGUUUUCUGCAAUUUUAAUUGCGUAAAUACGCAGCUUAUCUGGAGCUCUGAUACAAAGCAACCCAAGUCCAAAAUGAGGUCAAGUUAAAGGUCAGACUGAGGUCAGGUUACAACUGCAUUAGUAUCAAGUCAUUCUAGUGAGGGGUAUUGAUCAGAUGCUAGACGAAAUGGUAACAUUUGGUUAACCAAGAGAUGGCCAAUAUAAAGCAACCUAAGUCCAAAAUGAGGUCAAGGUCAAGGUCAAACUUAAUAUAAAGAAUAAAGGUAUUGGCACGUAAGUUUGGAGUAAUAGAAAGCCAUUGAACCUUUUCUGUUUUAAACACUGCAUUGAAACAAAGUCUUUUUGGACUUUAAAAAUUAUGCACCAUAAAAUACUGAAAAAAAAGAAGUAUUUCUAACUUAACUGAAGGCAACAAAGUUGUAAUGCUUAAUAAAUGGACCAAGUUUGAAAGAAAUAUCUUCAUUACUUGUCAAGAAUUAUCACUUUUUCUGCCCCGAUUGGGUAAUGUUACCAGCCUGUUUUAUGCAAACAAAUGCCUACCUGGUAAACUGGCUAGCGUCCAACAACUGGACUUUUGUAAUAUUUUUCAUCCCAGCAGAAGAGCUAUUUUGUUUACUUCUAAAAUUAGGUAAAGUACUUUUUCGAGACCCGAACUCAUAUUGUUUUUAGGUCUAACAGUACCAUGUUUCCGGACCAUAUAGGGACAGAGAGUUGUCACUUGAUUGGUUUUCAAUUUACAUUCAAUAUUGAAUUCAACUUUAUUUUAGGGUCACUUUAACUGAUUUUCUUUGUAUAUAUAAUACUUACAAUAAUUAUUGUAGACUGCAUGUUUACGAUUAACAAACGCUUACAUCAUCAUGCCUUUCACAUAAUAAUAACAAGAAGACCAUGAUGGUCCUGAAUCGCUCGUCUGUUCCCGCAUGACCCAGUUUUGAGUAUGACGUUGUUUUUUUUUAUUAUUUGACAAAGUGACCUAGUUUUUGAGCUCACGUGACCCAGUUUUGAGCUUGACCUAGAUAUCAUCAAGAUAAAAAUUCUGAUCAAUUUUCAUGAAGAUCCAUUGAAAACUAUGGCCUCUAGAGAGGUCAUAAGAUUUUUCAAAUUUUAGACCUAAUGACCUAGUUUUUGACCGCAGUUGACCCAGUUUCAAACUUGACCUAGAUAUCAUAAAGAUGAACAUUCAGACCAACUUUCAUACAGAUCCCAUGAAAAGUAUGGCCUCUAAAGAGGUCACAAGGCUUUUUUAUUAUUUGACCUACUGACCUAGUUUUUGAAGGCACGUGACCCAGUUUCAAACCUGACCUAGAUAUCAACAAGGUGAACAUUCUGACCAAUUUUCAUGAAGAUCCAUUCAAGGGUAUGGCCUCUAGAGAGGUCACAAGGUUUUUCGAUUGUAAGACCUACCGACCUAGUUUUAGAUUGCAGUUGACCCAGUUUCAAAACUGACCUAUAUAUCAUCAACAUAAGCAUUCAUACCAACUUUCAUACAGAUCCCAUAAAAAAUAUGACCUCUAGAGAGGUCACAAGAUUUUUUCAUUACUUGACCUACUGACCUACUUUUUGAUGACAUGUGACCCACUUUGGAACUUGACCUAGAUAUCAUCAAGAUGAACAUUCUGACCAAUUUUUAUGAAGAUCCAUUCACAAGUAUGGCCUCUAGAGAGGUCACAAGGUUUUUCUAUUUUUUGAACCUACUGACCUAGUUUUUGACCGCAUGUGACCCAGUUUCGAACUUGGUCUAGAUAUCAUCAAGAUGAACAUUCAGACCAACUUUCAUACAGAUUCCAUGAAAAAUAUGGCCUUUAGAGAGGUCACAAGGUUCUUCUAUUAUUUGACCUACUGACCUAGUUUUUGAUGGCACCUGACCCACUUUCAAACCUGACCUAGAUAUCAUCAAGAUGAACAUUCAUACCAAUUUUCAUGAAGAUCUUGUGAAAUAUAUGGCCUCUAGAGAGGUCACAAGGUUUUUCUAUUUUUAGACCUACUGACCUAGUUUUUGACCGCAUGUAAAUAAGUUUCGAACUUGACCUAGAUACCAUCAAGGUGAACAUUCUGACCAACUUUCAUAAAGAUCCCAUGAAAAAUAUGGCCUUUAGAGAGGUCACAAGGUUUUUCUAUUAUUUGACCUACUGACCUAGUUUUUGACAGCACGUGACCCAUUUUCAAACUGGACCUAGAUAUCAUCAAGGUGAACAUUCUGAGCAAUUUUCAUGAAGAUUUUGUGAAAUAUAUGAUCUCUAGAGAGGUCACAAGGUUUUUCUAUUUUUAGACCUACUGACCUAGUUUUUGACCGCACGUGACCAAGUUUCAAACUUGACCUAGAUAUCAUCAAGGUGAACAUUCUGAACAACUUUCAUAAAGAUCCCGUGAAAAAUGUGACCUCUAGAGUGGUCACAGUCAAAAGUUUACGCACGGACGGACGACGGACGCUGCGCAAUCACAAAAGCUCACCUUGUCACUUUGUGACAGGUGAGCUAAAAAAUGUCACAUAAGUUUUAAGUAUGAUGAGCCAUGUGUCACAUGGCUAAAUUGUAUUAUAUACAAAAGGAUGAAACUAUUCAAUAGUGCAAAUCAUAUGUAAAGAAUGGUAACCAACUGAUUCUGCCUUAGUGACCAGUGUAGAUCAUGAUCAGCCUGCACAUCCUUGCAGUCUGAUCAAGAUCUAUGCUGUUUGCCAUUCAGUCAGUAUAUUUUGGUAAGCACUCCUUUUCACAGUUAAUGGUAUUGUCCAAAUUGAAAGAUGGCUGAGCUCAUUGUAGAAGUUUAGCAGGGUAUGGGUUAAGAAUGUUAUCCAGUGUAUGAUUACAGCAUUGUUGGGAAAACUUGCAUUAAAUAUUAUUAUCAGUGGUAUAAAGGAGUACUGUUCUCUUCUACCAGGAAUGUAGAGUAAACUAGCUCUGAAUUAGCCAGUAUCAAAUGUAAACUGCUUUGAACUUUACUGACAUUAAAUCUGUGAAACUGUUACAAUUGUACACUUGUAUUUAAUUAAGAGCUUCUUUAAUCUAAAGUAAAUACAUACCACAGUGCCAAUUCCUAGUAUGAAAGUCGCAACAUUUUUACUGUCCUAUAGAAAUUUCUAAAUGUCGCAUAAAUUUUUUAAUUGUCUCAUAAUGUCACUAUGUUUCAAAAAUUGUUAGGUCCCACCAUAUUCUCAAUUUUACAAGAUUUCUGAAAUGCCUAAACAGAGGAGCUUUAACGAGCCCUAAAAAAACAAAACAAGCUUGGUGACCUGCUUUUUCUUCUCUUGCUCACUCCUACAUCCUUAAAUGUAAGUGUGCCUAAGGGCAUAGCGCAUAGCUUAAUCAUUUUUCUGGCAUCCCAGUUUUAAGAAAUAGAGAAUAAUAGGUUAGUGCCGUAGAUGGAGAAAGUUUAUCUGGUGAUGUGCAGGAGGUUAUCGGGUGAGCCGAAGGCGAACCUGAUAACGUCCGGAGCCGAGUCAGAUAACCUAUCUCCAUCUUAGGCACUGACCUAUUAUUCUAUUUAUCUUGUCAUUACUUAAUUUUCCGAUAUUUGGCAAUUUAUUUUACAAAAAUUAGUGUUGGACAACCGUUUUAAGGACGUCAUAUUCGUAAUGAAGUCACUUAUAUAAUGAGGUCAUCACCAACACAGUAAUGUGGUUACAACUGAAAAAUCGCAAUAACUUCUUCUUAUAUCAAGAAAGAUAUAAGGCACCCUGAUAUCGGGUCGAAAAUACUGCAAGUGACAGGAUAAAUGACAAUUCGUAUUAUAUUGUACCACUAAACAGAGAACUGCUCUUCUCUUCAAAACAUUCAGCUAUUUAAAUAUAAGUCCAACUAUAAGACUUUUGUGUGUUUUUGUUAAAGCUAAUUAAUUGCAUUUAAGAAAUAAUUUAUAGCAAAACAGUCCUUUAUGACUAUUUAUACACGAUGGCGGUUAUACAUCAGGCAUAAUAAUUUUACGAGGGCGCCGCCCGACAUUUAGUUUAAAACAUGCUAUUAAGUUAAAUAUUUCAUGAAGUUUGAAAGCGCUAUUUCUUGAUGCGUACAUGGCGCUAGAUAUCACGUUGACGUGACGUCAGCAUAACAUCGAUGUGAUGAUUAAAAGCAUUGUAAGUGCUGUAUUUAUUGUCAUUAUGCAUUAUUGUACAUAUACUUGUAUAUAAUUAUGUUGUGCUCUCCAUUAUUGGGGGAAUAAAAGAUACCUAUCUUUCUUCUCUCAUCCCACUGUUUACAAAUGAACAGAUUUAGGGUGUAGAGAAUAGCUUUCCCAUUAAUAUUUUAACACAUUCAACUUUAAAUUUCUAUGAAAUAUUUUUCAUUCACUGGUUUUCUUAAAAUACACAGUGAUUUGCUCACGAAAAGAUAGCUUAAAUUUUCAUUUGAAGAUAUGCAAAAAAGAACAGGCAAACAUUUAAAAUGUACAUCAUAAUGCCAUUAAAAGAAUGAUAAUUAUGAAACAUGCAAAAUUCAUCAACCCGACCUCUACACCCUAAAGCAUUUUUAAUAAAUAUAUAUUAAUUGUACUUGUUUUUAAUCAAUUCAGUAGACAAAUCUAAAGCAAUCAGAGCUUUUCUUGCAUUGCCGACUUAUAAUAAAAAUUAAGUAUAUCAUAUCCUCUUAUCUGGUAUCAAAUUAUAUCUGAUCCAAGGCCCUUUUAAAUUUCAAUAUAAAAAAGAAACGUAAAUGUUAUAUUUGGAAGAAAAUCAUACAAUCAAACACUCUUAUUGACAGUAUUUUUGUUUAAUAUUUUUCUGGUUGUGAUUUUCUCUAGGUAGGGCUCCUAUUAACGAAAUAUUUCCUGAAACAUAGCUGUAUUUUGGAAGCUCUAACUUCAGCUGUUAACAUUUUGUUAAGCAAUUUUUGAAAAGUUUUGAAAUGUACCAACACCUGUUUUGUAGCAUUUUCAUCCAUGUAAGUAGAUAACUAGAGAAAUAUGAUGGACACAAGUGAUUUUGUAUAUAACUGGUCUGUAUGUGGUAAAUGUAUCUGUGAUAAGUUGAUAACAAAAAUGUAUUAAUUGUGUUUAAUUUUAUGAAAUAUGUUUAGUAAUGCAGUAAUCCUGUGUUGUACCAAACAGUGCUUUAGGGGAUAGUGGAUAGCUAACUAAUUUUUCCUAGGUUCCAUUUCACAGAAAUGACAAUAACAGUUUUUUUAGUAUAUCAGACAGAAAACAUCUAUUCUUAAAACAGUCCGUUUUUCAUAGAAAUUCAUGUGUUUUUCCCUCCACUCAGUUGUUUACAUACCAGCUGAUUUAGGGUGUACAGGAUAGCUUUGGUCAUCUUUUCCAUUUUUAGUUUAAAAUCCACCUCUGAACAAACUUUUCAAGACUUUUUUAAUAAAAAUCAAAAUAAAAAUGUAUUCUGUUUUCAAAAACAUUCAGCUUUUUAAAUUUCUAUCUCACUGACAUACACUGUAUACAAAUACACUGAUUUAGUCUAUAGGGGAUAGCUUUAUUUUACAUAUGAAAAAUAAAACACCAAGCAAAUAUUUAAAAUGUUUGUCAGAAUGUCUAUUUGAAGGACAGUAAAAGAAUGAUAUGAAAAUUUAUACAAUAAUUCAAGUCUAAAUAUAAAAUUUAUCAAAUCAAUCUAUCCGCUAUACAGUACCCUAAAAUCCACUAUACCCUAAUGUAUUUGUUAUAUUAUUUUUUCUUUCUUACACUGAUUUUUUUAUUAGAUUAGCAUGGACUCCAAUGGAAAUAAGCUUUUAGCUUAACGAGUUGUCCAUAUUUCUUUAGAUUUUUCUUAAGUAUAACACCUGGCUAAGAUUUUUCAGUUUUAUUAAAAGUAUGCAUCUUACUUACUGGUACUGAUGAAAAACCUGGACAGAUGAUAAAGUCGAACACCUCAGAAAUAGAUCUAUUCAAUUGCAUUAAUGCAAUCGGUUAUUUAUAAAAUUGAACACAUCAUGUAUGUACAGUUUCCACUUACAACACCGACUGGUGUAAACAAAAACAAAAUUGGUAAAUAUUUUGUAUAAAUAAAUGACUUACAUAAAUUUGUAUACCGACCAUCGAUUUCAAGUUGCAGAAAUAAAAGUUAUGCAGGUAAAAAACCUCAUUUUCUGUCCGGGUUUAUCAUCAGUACCAGUAUACAUUUGUUUUCAAAACUAUGUAAAGAAAUGAUUUUUUAUAUGCUGUGAUAUUAUAUUUAUUGCCUUGUGUUGGGUUAUAUGCUAUCGAUAUUAAAUGUCAAUCAAUAAAUACAAAACAAUAUCUUC